UACGUAGGGGCCUAGCGUUGUCCGGAUUUAUUGGGCGUAAAGAGCUCGUAGGCGGCUUGUCGCGUCGUCCGUGAAAACUUGGGGCUCAACCCCAAGCUUGCGGUCGAUACGGGCAGGCUAGAGUUCGGUAGGGGAGACUGGAAUUCCUGGUGUAGCGGUGAAAUGCGCAGAUAUCAGGAGGAACACCGGUGGCGAAGGCGGCAUCCUGGACCAACACUGACGCUGAGGAGCGAAAGCCAGGGGAGCAAACGGG
rnacentral:rRNA from 1 species